CAUUUCUGGUCUACCUUAUCCUUCCUUGUGUGCCGGUAGCUAGCUGUGAGCAGCUCGCCAGCUCCGGAUUAUGGUCACCACUGGUCACCAGCUAGCUCUGUGGUCGCGGUGACGCGGUCUCUCCAGACAGUCAACGGUUAUGUGUCAAUCAUGUGAUCGACUGAUUGCCCGUCAUGCAAAACUCCAGACUAGCGCGCUUGUGCGGACGCUUGGUCCGGAUCGGAGUCAAUCGCUUGCAGGCUGCACGCUACGCUGCUGGCGUGCGAGCUGCGAGCAUCUGCCUGGUCGCAUGGUUCAUUCUGCUGAUCUGGUUCAACAUACAGCGCGCUGCAUGCAUCGGCUUGUGGCAAAGCUCUUUGCACUGCAGUUCUUCUCCACUCAAUCGGAUCCACUCACAACCCGAAUUUCCAACCUUGCAUGCUGUGUUUCAGAUACUGGCACACUAGAGUUUGCCUUUCUCAGAAUACCUCUCUGCUGCUCCCUGCUCUGUCUCAUCGGGGUUUAUUUGCCGUAGAAGUAAGCGUUCUCCUGUCGCAGUAGAAUUUGCCGUGGUUUGCCCAGUCCCAUCGGCGUAACUGCUUGUGGUGGAACUUUGGUGCCAGCUGAUCUCCGAAAAGGAAGGCCAAAUUUAGCCAGGAACACUCGGGACGGCGUUUGUGAGAGGCUGAGAUUUGUGAGAUCAUGCUUCGUCCCUGGAGGCCGUCCUAGGAGCUGAUCGAUCUCACAUGCACAUGCACGUGCUGUACACUACCAUUCCUUGCUGUACAGUCUUGGCUGAGUUGCCAACACUCAUGAACAAUACUGCUGAGAAAGAAUGUCGGCACGUCCACAGAGUGUCUUCAUCGGGAGCGACCUUGUUGCGUGCAAGUAUCACCUCCUCAUGUCCGCUGCAUCAGCGUCACUGCCACUGGCUUCUGUCUCCUUCCACUGUGAUCAUGGUGUAUUAAGAUAGCCACGUCAACAUUCACUCGACGCUGUGGUAAUAGCGUGUCCAUCGCUGUUGCUGAUUUCCAUUUGCUGUGAAAUUUUGACGAUAUCAUGCCGCUGCUGCUGAUGAUGAUGAUGGUUCCAGUGGCCUCAGUAUCCACUGCUGUCUGCAUUCCUAGGCCACCAUCUCCACCCUCCACACUGCCCUAAUGAACGAUGAAUAGUCGGUCAACGAUGCUAAUCGUCACACUUCAAUUUUCACUUCGUUCGUACCCUUUUUGGACCCUUGCUAUUAUUAAAAUAAAAAGUGUAUAAUAUGAGAUUGACCUGAUCGCCAAUUUGCUUCUGGAGAUCUAUUGCACUGUUCUGAUAUUGUCUGAAGUUAAAUAAAAUUAAACGUACUACGAGACUGACCUGAUGGGCAACUCGCCUCUGGAGAACUCUUGCAGUGUUUUGAUAUCGUCUGAAGUGACUACCGUUCUGACUGUCUGUACUGGUAGCGACCAUGCUAACUGACUGACCAAUUGCCUCUGGAGAACUUUUUUUUGAUAUGGUCUGAAGUGAUUCCUGUACUACUGGUUAUGUCCGUGCUAACCAACUGACCAACUAUAAUUCCUAGCAGCAAACUUGAACAUCCAGUAGCUUGCGUGCAACUCUGCUUUCUGAUUGAAAGCCAUCAUGGGAUGAAACUUAACUAACGCGUGCCACCGAACCAGCUCAGAUCUAACAGCAUUGAAUAGCCGCCGCCCGCAGCCGAUGAGACUAACACAUUACUCACCUUGCCGUCGUGUGAUGUCAUAUGGUGUAGUCUUGUCUUCUAUACGUGCUGCUGCUUCCCAACACCCGCAGGAAAAACAACCGCAAGGUAGACUCCACCACCAAGAGCCUCCUGACUGCACCCGGCCGAGCCCUGCCCUGGUGCGUAUCCGUCGCCGCCUCCGCUGCUGCUUCCGUACUACGGGUCUGUCUGGUAACGCCGCUGUGAUCACGCUCGCUGUGGCGAGCACGCACGUGGCUGUUUGCCUCUGCGUGCAGCGCUUUGCUUUUACUACUGCCUAGCUAUGCUUUCUCUCCCCCCCCCCCCAUCUCCGUGUGUGCAUUAUCUCCAAUGUGCAUCUUGCUGUCCGCUGGGUCUAGUUUGCCGUAACACACGCAGAUGUGCAGCAGUCAUGCUGCUCGUCCUGCUGCAUGCAGUACAGGCUAUUCACGCGAUAUGUAAAAUUCGUUUAGCUCACACAAUGCGAUAAGUCAGGCUCUUUUUUGCAACCUGAACACGAUGUUCUGGUGUGAGUGCCCUAUACGCACAAGUCACGCACCCGCGAUAAGUCGUGCUGUUUGGUCACGAGGAUGGAGUGCUUGCCUGUGGAGAGUAGACUGUCGUAUGUUACAGUGUAGGGUAGAAUGCCUGUGGAGAGUAGACUGUCGU